rnacentral:lncRNA from 1 species
AUAUGGAGCCUCAUAAAAGAUUAUAGAAACCAAUCAAAAAGAAGAGGUAUGAGAAACAAAUUAUAGACCUAAUACCAUAUAGAAUUAAUUCAAACUUAGUGAUAGGGGGAAUAAAAGGAAAAGCAAAUUUAAAUAGUUGAUGGUAACGUAUUUCCUUUGGAGAGAGCUACUUGGGACUGAAAGAAAUUUGCAUCUUCUCAUCUAGUGUUAAGAAAAAGUGAUGAGAGCAAGAGAGUAUGAAUAUGAGGAGUAGUAAAAAUAUCAUUUUUUU